GGCCGAUGGCCCACAUAUCAG
rnacentral:siRNA from 1 species